rnacentral:rRNA from 1 species
GAUGAACGCUGGCGGCGUGCCUAAUACAUGCAAGUCGAGCGAACAGACGAGGAGCUUGCUCCUCUGACGUUAGCGGCGGACGGGUGAGUAACACGUGGAUAACCUACCUAUAAGACUGGGAUAACUUCGGGAAACCGGAGCUAAUACCGGAUAACAUGUUGAACCGCAUGGUUCAACAGUGAAAGACGGUCUUUCUGUCACUUAUAGAUGGAUCCGCGCCGCAUUAGCUAGUUGGUAAGGUAACGGCUUACCAAGGCAACGAUGCGUAGCCGACCUGAGAGGGUGAUCGGCCACACUGGAACUGAGACACGGUCCAGACUCCUACGGGAGGCAGCAGUAGGGAAUCUUCCGCAAAGGGCGAAAGCCUGACGGAGCAACGCCGCGUGAGUGAAGAAGGUCUUCGGAUCGUAAAACUCUGUUAUUAGGGAAGAACAAAUGUGUAAGUAACUAUGCACGUCUUGACGGUACCUAAUCAGAAAGCCACGGCUAACUACGUG